rnacentral:rRNA from 5 species
GAGCAACCUGCCCUGGACUCUGGGAUAAGCGCUGGAAACGGCGUCUAAUACUGGAUAUGAGCCCCUAUCGCAUGGUGGGGGUUGGAAAGAUUUUUUGGUCUGGGAUGGGCUCGCGGCCUAUCAGCUUGUUGGUGAGGUAAUGGCUCACCAAGGCGUCGACGGGUAGCCGGCCUGAGAGGGUGACCGGCCACACUGGGACUGAGACACGGCCCAGACUCCUACGGGAGGCAGCAGUGGGGAAUAUUGCACAAUGGGCGAAAGCCUGAUGCAGCAACGCCGCGUGAGGGAUGACGGCCUUCGGGUUGUAAACCUCUUUUAGCAGGGAAGAAGCGAAAGUGACGGUACCUGCAGAAAAAGCGCCGGCUAACUACGUGCCAGCAGCCGCGGUAAUACGUAGGGCGCAAGCGUUAUCCGGAAUUAUUGGGCGUAAAGAGCUCGUAGGCGGUUUGUCGCGUCUGCUGUGAAAUCCCGAGGCUCAACCUCGGGCCUGCAGUGGGUACGGGCAGACUAGAGUGCGGUAGGGGAGAUUGGAAUUCCUGGU